UAAGACGGAGGGGGCUAGCGUUGUUCGGAAUUACUGGGCGUAAAGGGCGCGUAGGCGGAUUAGUAAGUUGGAAGUGAAAUCCCGGGGCUUAACCUCGGAAUUGCUUUCAAAACUACUAGUCUAGAGUGAAGUAGGGGAUGAUGGAAUUUCUAGUGUAGAGGUGAAAUUCUUAGAUAUUAGAAGGAACACCGGUGGCGAAGGCGAUCAUCUGGGCUUCUACUGACGCUGAGGCGCGAAAGCGUGGGGAGCAAACAGG
rnacentral:rRNA from 1 species